rnacentral:rRNA from 1 species
UGGGGAAUAUUGGACAAUGGGCGCAAGCCUGAUCCAGCAAUGCCGCGUGUGUGAAGAAGGCCUGCGGGUUGUAAAGCACUUUCAGUAGAGAAGAAAAGCUUACGGUUAAUAUCCGUGAGUCUUGACGUAACCUACAGAAGAAGCACCGGCUAACUCCGUGCCAGCAGCCGCGGUAAUACGGAGGGUGCAAGCGUUAAUCGGAAUUACUGGGCGUAAAGCGCGCGUAGGCGGCUCUGUAAGUCGGAUGUGAAAGCCCUGGGCUUAACCUGGGAAUUGCAUUCGAUACUGCAGAACUAGAGUAUGGUAGAGGGAAGUGGAAUUUCCGGUGUAGCGGUGAAAUGCGUAGAUAUCGGAAGGAACACCAGUGGCGAAGGCGACUUCCUGGGCCAAUACUGACGCUGAGGUGCGAAAGCGUGGGGAGCAAACAGG